UUAUGUCACAUCUAAGUUGAUGACCAUUUUAUUUGUGGUCUGUUUUUUUAUCCUAGUUUUUUUAUUUUUUGUUGCUGCAUUAUAUAUUUGUGGAAGCUUAGAUGUGACAUCCUUAAAAAACAUCUAAAUGUGAAUUAGACAAACUGAUAAAGAAUAGCUGAAAAUCUGGAAUGAAUAAUUACCAUUGACAAUUAUACUAAUCAUUAUAUAUGAUAUUUUACGACUAUGGCUUGGAAGUUAGAUCAAAUACCACAGAAAAUAUAAAUACAACAGCAGAUCUUGGUUUUUGCAGGUUGCUAAAAAUAUGAGAUACAGAGCUGUAUCUCUUUUUCCAAUCAAAACUUUUGAAAUAAAAAUUCCCAUCAACAAAUAGUGAAUGGGUCACUUCUGGAGACAAAUAUAUCUUCCUGCCACUGAGAUACCAUGAUACAAAUGUAUAUAUAAUUCGAUCAUAACUGUCUACAUCGACUUGUGUUCUGGUCACUCAUUUUUAAUCGUGUAUAUGUUGUAGCUCCAAAUCAUGAAUAAGACAUGACGUCUAAGCAGCAGACCAGAGUGUUGGAUGGUCACUUAUCCACGCUUUGUGAUUACUCUAGGUACCCCACACCUUAAUUAAUCAAGCACAGCUGACAGCCUAAAACAAAAAGAUAUGGAAGAUCAUCUCAUUAUUUCUUGCAAAGAAAAAUAAAUAAACGAUGAAGCAGAUGCAGUACAUAUACUCAUGUCAGAUGUAGGACAGUUGCAAUAUAAUAACUGCUCACUUGGAUCUCAACGGAGAAGAGCAGCACUGUCACCCCCAUGGCCCCAUCCCCUCGUCGCCCGUAUCAUCUUGCCAUCACAGCAACACUGCCACGCACAGGAAGGUGAGAAAACAUCCCACCGCUGCCCAUAUAUGUCGCCGUAUUUGGAGAGAGGUCGUCGACGGCGCCGGCUGCCGCCGCAGCCGCCACGGACAAACGAUACAAGACACGAAAUGAAAAAACAGUAAAAAAAGGGGCUGCUGAGGAAGAGUACAGGGCGGGUGGACGGAAUCGGUGAGGAGGCAGUCGCGAAGAAGAAGCUCGCCGAUGAUGGAACAACGGCGCAUCGAGGAGGAAAGAACGGCGGUCGGCGACGCAUCGAGGAGCCAGAAACGGCGGCACGCGACGAACAGAUGGGGAGGAUAGCGAUGGAACCUGGACAACCUGGGC
rnacentral:lncRNA from 1 species